rnacentral:rRNA from 1 species
ACACGGAGGGCGCAAGCGUUGCUCGGAAUCACUGGGCGUAAAGCGGGUGUAGGCGGUCUAGCAAGUCAGAUGUGAAAGCCCACGGCUCAACCGUGGAAGUGCAUCUGAAACUGCUAGACUUGAGUGCCGGAGAGGGAAGUGGAAUUCCUGGUGUAGGGGUGAAAUCCGUAGAUAUCAGGAGGAACACCGGUGGCGAAGGCGACUUCCUGGACGGCCACUGACGCUGAGACCCGAAAGCGUGGGGAGCAAACAGGAUUAGAAACCCUAGUAGUCC